rnacentral:lncRNA from 1 species
CAGGGCUGCAAAUAAAUAUUUGACUUGACAGGACAUUUGUCCGAUCACUUUUAAUUUUGGUCGGACAUAACUUGAAUUUGGUCGGACAAAAACCAACAUCGCUACAUUUGAUCGGACAUAUACAGUAUACGUCACAAGAUAUAUAUAAGUCACGAGACAAGUAUGUAUAGCCAUUCCGGCGCAACGUUAAGUAAAAUGCUAGAUUGCCUCGUAAAUUUUAUUGCAAAAUGCAAAUUGAGUGAAUUUGCAAUCGGAUUUUGUCACAGCAAAAAAAUGUAUGUGACAAUUUUUUUGUGAUCGGACCGAUGUCCGAUCAAAAUUACUUUUGCUCGGACAUUUGCCAAAUUUAGUCGGACAUUGUCCGAUGUCCGACAGUAAUUUGCAGCCCUG